rnacentral:rRNA from 1 species
GAGUUUGAUCCUGGCUCAGGACGAACGCUGGCGGCGUGCCUAAUACAUGCAAGUUGAACGAUGAUUUCUGGUACUUGUAUCAGAAUGAAGAGUAGCGAACGGGUGAGUAACGCGUGGGUAACCUACCUCUUAGCGGGGGACAACUAUUGGAAACGAUAGCUAAUACCGCAUAACAAUGCUUAACACAUGUUAAGCAUUUGAAAGUACCAAUUGGUACACUAGGAGAUGGACCCGCGUUGUAUUAGCUAGUUGGUAGUGUAAUGGACUACCAAGGCGAUGAUACAUAGCCGACCUGAGAGGGUGAUCGGCCACAUUGGGACUGAGACACGGCCCAAACUCCUACGGGAGGCAGCAGUAGGGAAUCUUCGGCAAUGGACGAAAGUCUGACCGAGCAACGCCGCGUGAGUGAAGAAGGUUUUCGGAUCGUAAAACUCUGUUGUUAGAGAAGAACGUUGUGUAGAGUGGAAAAUUACACAAGUGACGGUAUCUAACCAGAAAGGGACGGCUAACUACGUGCCAGCAGCCGCGGUAAU